rnacentral:rRNA from 1 species
CCUACGGGUGGCAGCAGUGGGGGAUAUUGCACAAUGGGGGGAACCCUGAUGCAGCGACGCCGCGUGGGUGAAGGAGCGUUUCGGCGCGUAAAGCCCUAUCGGCAGGGAAGAAGGAGGACGGUACCUGACUAAGAAGCCCCGGCUAACUACGUGCCAGCAGCCGCGGUAAUACGGAGGGGGCAAGCGUUAUCCGGAUUUACUGGGCGUAAGGGGGGCGCAGCCGGAAGUGCAAGCCAGCGGUGAAAGCCCGGGGCCCAACCCCGGAACUGCUAUUGGAACUACGCGGCUGGAGUGCAGGAGGGGCUGGCGGAAUACCUGGUGUAGCGGUGAAAUGCGUAGAUAUCAGGUGGAACACCGGUGGCGAAGGCGGCCUUCUGGACUGCGACUGACGUUGAGGCCCGAAAGCGUGGGGAGCAAACAGGAUUAGAUAACCUUGUAGUC